rnacentral:lncRNA from 1 species
AAAAAAGAAAAAAAUGUCCCUAGAAAAUGUCAUAAUCCAUAUUAGGAUUGAGAAACAAAACCAAAAUAGGGACAAUGUUGAGAAAGCUAAGGAAUUGUCUUCUAAGGCUAAUGUAGUAGAAGAAAAACCCAAACCCAAACCCAAACCUAAACCCAAAAACAAUAGGUCCAGAAAACAAAACUCUAGGACCAAGCCUAAUGAAUCAAACAAGGUCCAGAACCUAACUAUUAAAAAAUGAGGUAAUUGCUUUGGUUGUGGAAAGUUUGGACACCAUGCAACUUAAGGUCACCAUAGGAAGAGAACUGAGAAGUCCAAUUCAAAGGCAAAUCUGGCAGAGAUAGAGGCGAUCAUAACUGUAAUCUCCUUUGAGGUGAGCAUGGUCACUAAUAUGAAUAACUGGGUGGUAGACUUUGAGGCUACCAAGCACAUCUGUGGAAACAGAGUGCAUUUACUUCCUAUACCACUGUAAAGGAAUGAGAUAAACAAGUGUUCAUGGAUGAUUCUAGAUCUACUCCAGUGAUUGGCAAAGGGAAAGUUGUCAUCAAGCUAACCUCUGGAAAAGUGCUCGCCCUUAAUGAUGUUCUUCAUGUGCCAGAUAUCCACUGGAACUUGGUGUCAGUAUCUCUACUUGGGAAAGCAGGAGUGAGGAUCUUGUUUGACUCUGACAAAAUAGUUUUAACCAAGAAUGAUGCAUUUGUGGGGAAAGGCUAUUGUAAUCAGGGUUUAUUUAUGUUGAAUGUUUAUAAUAUUAUCAAUAAUAAUGCAUCUUCUUCUUCUGCUUACAUAGUUGAUUCUUGUGAUAUUUGGCAUAGUAGACUAGGACAUGUGAACUUUUCAAAUAUGAAGAAAAUGGUUGAAUUGAGUUUAAUCCCUAAGUUGUCCUUAGAAAACCAUGGAAAAUGUGAUUCAUAUCUAGAAUAAAAAAACCACAAAGGAAUCUUGCAAAUUAGUAGAAAAAUAAUCAGAUCUACUAAGUUUAAUACACAAUAACUUAUGAGACCAAAAAAAUACAAUGAUUAAAGGUGGUAAAAAAUUCUACAUAACUUUCAUAGAUGACUACUCAAGGUAUACAAGGGUAUAUAUUUUGAGAAACAAAAAUGAAGUGAAAAAUCAACUAAGUAAGAAAAUUAAAAUGUGUAGAACUGAUAGGGGAGGAUAGUAUGGGUCCAACCCCUCUAAUUCUUUUUGUGAAGAUCAUGGGAUCAUUCACAAAACUACUCCUCUUUAUUUCCCUAAGUCUAAUGGAGUAGCAAAAAGGAAAAAAUAAGAACUUAAAAGAAAUGAUGAAUGCAAUGUUGGUAAGUUUAGAAACACCCUUGAAUUUGUGGGGGGAAGCUAUCCUCUUCGCUUGUUGUAUUCAAAAUAGAAUACCUUACAAGAGAAUUGGUAAAACUCAUUACCUAAUAUAGCAUACCUGAAAGUGUAGGGAUGUUUAGCUAAAGUUCUUUUCCCUGAACCUAAAAAACAAAAACUAGGUCCUAAAACCUUUGAUGCAAUGUUCAUUGGCUAUGUUGAGAAUAGUGCAGCAUAUAGAUUUCUUGUUACUAAGUCAGAAAACAGUCUUGUAGAUGUCAAUACCAUAAUAGAAACAAAUAAUGCAGAUUUCUUUGAAAAGAUCUUUCCUAUGAAACUAAAUGAUGAACAAAAAGUUCAGAAAACAAGUAGAGACGAGUCUAUUGAACCUUCUGAAUUUGAAUCUAGAAGGAGUAAAAAAGAUAGAAAAGAAACAAACCUUAGAGAUGGUUUCUACACUUUCCUAAUAUAUGAGGACCCUAAAUCCUACAAAGAAGCUAUAACUUCUCCUGAUGCAUCAUGAUUACUACUCAAAAAGUGUUAUUUUGUAGCUUGUAAUUAACUCUUUUAAAACAAUUUUAAGUAAUAGUUAUUACCUUUUAACUCAAUUAGCAUAUUAAGUACCUUUGUAAUCGUUUCUAAUCAAAUUAUGUUAAGUUUUGGUGUUUUUGAUAGUAUUUUGAUCACCAAAACAAUCUAAGAUGAGGGAGAGUUCUAUAGAAUCCAUUGCAAAGCAAUUGGAAGCUCAUUUACAUGAAGAACCCAAGCCUUGAAGCUUUAUAAUCCUUUGCCAAAAGCAAAUCAUGAAUGCAAAGAGGGAAAGCAAAAAGAGAAAUCUAACAUGAAGAAUUCAAGAGGAUAGCAACUGUUGGACAUAUUUAAAGCACUUCUUGGAGUCCAUUUCAUACAUACUAUAUGUCGUUUCGAAGAUCGGAAAGUCAUAAAUCUAACGCUUUAAAUGGUAUAUGAAUCGGAGUUGAAAUGAAGAAGUUAUAGCCAUUGGAAGCCAAUCACACCAAGUUGAAGGCCAAUUUCGCAGCUGCGAAAUCAACCUUUGGCUGCGAAAUGGAGACCUUCAGCUUGCAAAAUUUCGCAGCCUCUUUCAUGCCUGCGAAAUCCUCCUAAGUGCUUCCAGAUAUUUGCAACCGACUCUUUUAGAUUUUUUCUUAAGAUAUUUGUUGUUUAAAUCCCCAUUUUCUCCUUGUAAUCCACCAAUCAUAGGAUUCCUUAGUUAAUAAGUAAGAACAAAGGGUGAAUAACCUCAUAUAUAUGGCUUGUAAUUUUUCUUUACAGAACAUCUCGAGAGUUUGUUCUCAGAGACAACCUUUUGUAUAGUUUUGAAGGAAGUAAUAUAUAGAGUUUUGCUCUGCCUUACCUACUCACUUUGAUUGUAUUUUUCUUACUAGCCAAACAAGCUCUGAGGAUGUUUCCUCAGAAGAUGAGUGGCUAGGCUUUUUGUCUCUUGGAUCUAAGGUAGCUGGGUAAGGUGUCGAGUGCAAGAAUUGGAAGUUUUGUUGUUUCAGCUUUUAAUGAAAAGAAAGUGUGACCCGUUAUUGGUUUCUAUGUUUUUAGUUAACUUAAAACGCCUUUAAAUCACCUAGGCCAACACUUGGUAAGGCAAGUGAUCUCCGUUCAUUGAGAUGCACUGGUUUAUCUCUUGCGAGCCUUUGGGAGGUGAUUUGAAGGUAGGAUUUUCUAAAAUUGCCAACACUUGGUAAGCUUUUACACUCUAAGGAGACAUCCAUUAGUUAUCUCUUGCGAGCUUGAGAAGGGAAAUCCAAGGUUAAUGAUCACCUUGAAUGGUAAAUGCUAGGUGAGAGGCACGAGCCAUUGCAAGAUGAGUCAAUGAGAGGGAUUUAGUGUUGGAAUCCAUAAAAGGGAAGUAUCUGUACCACAUCGAUUAGAGAAAUAACUAUAUGUUAAUUCUCUAAUGCGAGGAAAAGAUUCAAGUGACCGAAACUCUGUUUUUGUAUUGGGAGCCUGACCCCAGUGAUCCUAAAACUCCAAGAAACACUUUUCUUUAUAAGUAACUUCCGUUACUUUAUUUUUUUUAUUAGCUUAAAACCAACCAUUUCUAAACCAAAGUUUAUAUUUUCUUUUAAAGCUAACCUUGAAAUGAAAAAGUAUCAAUUCAAUUUUGAAUUAUUAUUAGUUGUAAGUUGAAAACCCUUCCCAGUGAACGAUCCUAGAGCCACCAUGCUAUGCUAGCUGAGGCUAUCAUAGUACAUGGUGAUAUAGGUUAUAAAUUUUGUUGAUUACUCCUGUCUGAAGGCCAAAAUCAAGGUACACCAGCUAGGCAUGGAAUCACAUCAUUAUGGAAAUAGGCCAUUAACAGUGAAAUCGAAUCAAUCAUGUGUAACCACACAUGGGAGUUAGUAGAUUUACCUCAUGGUGAAAAGACUAUUAGUUGUAAGUGGAUCUUUAAAAGGAAGUUAAAAAAAGAUGGGUCCAUAGAGAAGUAUAAAGCUCGGUUAGUUGCCGAAGGCUUUAGACAAAGAAAAUAUAUAAAUUACUUUAACACCUUUGCCCUUAUGACUAGAAUAGCAUUAAUUAGAGUAUUGAUCACUCUAGCUUCCAUUCAUAAUCCGGUGAAACACCAAAUGGAUGUUAAGACUACAUUCUUGAAUGAAGAUUUGGAAGAGAAAAUUUAUAUGGAACAAUCUGAGGGUUAUGUAGUUCAAAGGAAGGAGAAAAAGGUGUAUAGGCUGGUUAAAUCACUAUAUGGGUUAAAACAAGCUCCCAAAUAGUGUCACAACAAGUUUGAUCGUGUGUUAGUAACUAAUGGAUAUUCCAUUAACGAUGUUGAUAAGUGUAUCUACAGUAAGUAUGAGGAUAACACAUGUGUAGUCAUCUGCCUUUAUGUUGAUGACAUGAUGAUAUUUGGAACUAGCCAAAAGGUUGUGUGUGAGACCAAAAAAUUCCUAGGUUUUAAGUUAGAUAUGAAAGACCUAGGAAAGGUAAAGAUGAUUCUAGGAAUUAAAAUAACUAAAACACCUAAUGGGCUUAAACUUUCUCAAGAGCACUAUGUUUAGAAGAUCCUAAGGAAGUUUGAAUACUUUGAUUGUAAACCAAUGUCAACUCCUUAUGAUCCUAGCUCACAACUGAAGAAAAAUAGAGAAUACAAUGUUGCCCAAAUCGAGUAUGCUAAGAUCAUAAGGAGCCUAAUGUACUUAAUGAACUAUACUAGACUUGACAUUGUUUAUGCAGUAGGUAGAUUGAGUUAGUACACCUAAAGUUCUAAUCAUGACCAUUGGACUACUGUUCGUAGAGUCUUCAAGUAUUUGAGAGGCACCAUUAACUAUGGUUUGUGCUAUAGUGGAUUUCCAAGUGUCCUCGAAUGAUUUAGUGAUGUAAAUUGGAUCUCGGAUUUAGAUGAGAUAAAAUCUACUAGUGGAGAUGUUUUCACCCUUGGUUGAAGUGCAGUUUCUUGGAAGUCCGCCAAACAAACUUGCAUUACUCGGUCUAUUAUGGAGGUUGAGUUUAUUGCCUUAGAAAAGACAAGUUCUGAGGUUGAGUGGCUUAGAAACCUCUUAGUAGAUAUCCCUUUAUGGACGAUACCAGCCUCAUUUGUGUUUAUGCAUUGUGACAACCAAGCUGCAAUUGCUAAGGCUAAGAGUAAAAUAUUUAAUGGGAAGAAUAGACAUAUACGCCUAAGGCACAAUAUUGUGCGGUAGCUGCUUGAAACAUGGGUUAUAUUCCUAGAAUUUGUGAGGUCAAAUUUAAAUUUGGUUGAUUCUUUGACCAAACCACUAAAUAAGAAACUAGUGGUAGAAACAUUGAGGGGAAUGAGGCUUAUGCCUAUUACAUAAGUGAAAAAUAAUGGUAACCCAACCUAUUAGAAUGGAAAUUCCAUGAAGUAGGUUCAUAUGGGUAAUAACAAAUCACUUGUUGACUAGAGGUGCUCUAUCAACUUUAAUUGUAUGAGAGUUUAUCCCUAUGGUGCAAAUAGAGCGUAUCUUGCAUUGACUAAAGUUGAGUGUUUACUCUUAAUGAAUACCAUAUUCCUUAUGGAUGAUAUGUUUAAAUGCAGAACAUACUCGAUGGAUUCACCUAUAUGAGAGUGGAGGUGGAGUUGCUUCCUAUGAGAACUUAGGCAGGUUCUCUAGAACUCUCAUGAAUAUCUAGGUAAGGCGCAUAACCUAUUUGUGCCAACCUAUUAUGUAGAACUCGUAGUGUAGUUGAGAAAACUAAUGUGGAUAAAGGUCCCUUGAGUUACAUAAAGAAACAUUGGUUCAUAGAAAUUUAUUUUCACUGUGUUUUGUGAUUCAAUACUUAUUUUUCCUAAGACUAAUUCAUAACCUUUGGGCACCAGUACUGAUGCAUUGGAUUCUUUUUUUCUUCAAUUUUUUUUUCUUUCACAUCUACACUCUGUGGGGGAUUGUAAGAAGAAUGUAAAUGUGAAAAAGUGUUUUAGUGAACUCGACUAUUUUUUACAAAAUUCAAAAUAAUUAUUUUGUUUAAUUUUAUUUUAUUAUGUUUGACUUAGUCUUUUAUUUUUGGUCGACUCUUUGGGAAGAGUCCCAUUGGGACUGUGCUAGUAAAGUCUUGUUUCGCUUACAAUUAGAGCCUCAUUCUGCUUACAAGUAAAGUCCCGUUGGGACUAUGUUAAUGGCCUAUAAAAGCAAGUCACCCCUCACUCUCUAAACACUACUUUUUUCAGAGAGUUUUUUAGAGAGUCUUUCAUGCAUAUAUUUGGAGGAAUAUUUUAGAACCCAAGUUGUACAUGUCUUGCCUACAGAGUGCACCCAAGGUAAGAUUCAUUGGCUAUUGAAUCCUGGAAGUAGACCACUGGUACCCUAAUGCACCGAGUUUGUCUUCAAGAAGGGUGAAUCUAUUUCUUGUUAUUCAUCAUGUUCUUUGUUUAUGUGUUUUGGGUUAGUCCUUUGUUUUCAUACCCUUAAAACAACAAACUUAAGCGUCAUUCUCACUGCCCAGUCGUUCGGGACAAUCCGUCUACUACCCUAGGACUAGACAAACUAUUCGUUCGGCCUUAUGUUUCACCAUCCUAACAAUUAGGUCAUGGAUGCCAACGACGAUAGGGUACGGAACAACAGUGAAGGCCCACAAACCCAGUUUAGUAACUAUUUUCUAAAAUAGUUAUGAAAAAUAGUUCUUGAAAAUUGUUUUCUAAUGUUUUGUAGAACAAAAGUUUGUUUGAGAAUAUAAAAUAUUUUUAAUAUUUUUAAAUAUGUUUUAAAAAUAAUUUUUAUAUUCAGUGCUUUAUUUUUAAUCAUUCUACAUGCUUGUGUGAUUAUUUUCUAAAACAGCUCUUAGAAAAUAAGUGAAAAUAAUAUAAAACAACUAAAAGAUAUUAUCUGAAAAAUACUAUGUUUUCUAUAAAAUAGUUUUUUUAUUGUCAAACGUAUUUCCUUGUUUUUUAUUAUGGAAACAAAAAACUAUUCUUGAAAAUAGUUGUCAAACAAGCCCUUAAAGAUUUGUUUAAUAAAAAUGACAAAUAAACUCAUACUAAAUGUAAAAAGUUGGACAUGUACAAAUAUUCUUCUUAUAUGUAAUCUAUUUUUCUUCUUAAAUAUAGAAAAUAAGUUAAUAGAUAUUAUUUAAAUGAAAGAACAAUGAAAAGGCUUUUUAUUUCAAAUAAUGUAGAAAAAAUAAAUACUAAUUUAAUGAUUAAGUUGAUAUAAUUAAUUAUUUAUAAUUUCUUUUUAUAAAAUGAGAUCAUUUGUACAAUAUAUUUUAUUUUAAAGUUGUAUGAAGUUACUCCUUGUUGACCAAGUCGACCUUGAAGAUUUUUUUUUCUAAACCUAUUGUUCAUAUUUGAUUUAGCUUUUUUCCUUUAUCAAGUUUGCCUUGAAUAAUAGGUCAUUGAUUUUCUCGAUCUGUUCUCUUAUUCUAUUAUGCUCCUCAAUUGGAAUGUGAAUGAUGAUAUAUUCGAGGAAUAUUUAAUUUCUCUUAUGUUUCAUAUUAUUCUUAAUAUUUUUCCAAGAGUAGGAGAGAGUUUUUAUGACGUGUCCAACCACACACGAUAACUAAGUUCGCUUAUUAGCUUAUGGUAGUCAUGGAUUUGAGAUGAUAUAUUCCUAUAUUUGAUUCUUUGAAAAUUUCAAAAAUUUCCUAUGACAAUUUCCAAUCCCAACAUAUUCCAAAAUGUAGUUCUUGUUCACAAAAUGUAUUUUUUGUGGAGAAGAUGUUCUUUUGUGUCCAGAUGAGUGACAUGUGGCAAAGAAUAUUCUCCAGCAUAUGAGGGAUUUUUCUGGUAGAGGAGACUACCUUUAAGGAGCAUUUUUAAAGAGUAGUGCAAAAACUUUUUCUGAGGGGGAGAACCGGUAGAAGAUACGUAGCAAAGACUGUUUGGAGGAGUUGUGAAAGAGAAAACGGAGAGAGAAAGCUAGGGCAACAAGAAAAGUUUGAGAGCUUGAGAGAGUAAGAUUUUAGGUUGUGAAAGUGAGUUGAACAGUGAAAAAAGCAUAAAAAAUACGGAAGCAUUUUAGGUUGUGAGGUAGCCAUUUUUGAGAAUGUGGAAGGUUGUUUUUUAGAAGGGUAGGAGGAGUAGAGAAAAAACAAGCAAAGUGCAGAUGAGUAUUUGGGGAGACUGUCUCAGGUGGAGAGCAGAUUGGAGAGAGAGUGAGAGAGUGAGUAGGUUGUGAGUGGGUUUUGAGAGAGAAGAGAUGGGGUGUCUUGCGAAAGAAGAAAUAGGGAGAGAGAGAGAGAGAGAGAAACUGUAAGCAUGAAGCAAGACCAAUAGAGAGAAAGCAUAUGAAUUAAGAUUUUUUGGGAUGGACUUUUGAAAGGAAUUUUUUUUUUUUUGAGCCAUGGAGGAGACUCACCAGGUAUGUUGAGUUUCACAUCUUCAUAUUUUCACACCAUUCUGCUUGAUGUUUUUACUGGUUUAUAGGUUGCUCGUAUGCUGGUAGCUAUUGAUAUUUCAUGUCAUUUCUUUAGUUUGAUUUGAGAUUGAUGAGACUUUGCUAUUUCUUGAUCUAUUUCAUAUUGACUGUUUUUUCGUUUGGAUUUUUUUGUGGUCUUCCUCACCAUCUUGUGCCCAUUGAAAAAGUAUGAAAUGUGGUUUUGUUAUGUUUGAUUUCAUUUAUUUGCUUUCUUCUUGUUUCUUUCUAUUUCAUCCAUGUUCCCAUUUCUACACUUUCGCUGUUUUUCUGAUGGCUUAUUAAAAGAGCCAACCCAACAUCUUUGGUUAAGGUAAACCUUCAUGUGAUUAUAUGUGGCUAUGAAGAUAAAGUAGAAUGAGGAUGUGAAUUUUUGUGUGUCAAACUUUUCCAUUGGCUAAUCUGGAAAUGUAUGUAGCAAUGGAAUAUCCCACAACCAAAUUUCCAAAAACUGCAACAAUAAGGGUUGAUAACUAGAAUGGUAAAGCCAAUUGUUGGCAUUCUAUGAUUCAUCUGGAGGCUUCCUUAGUAGUCAAGUUAUUUUACCACUCAUCUGUAUCAUGAGUAAAGUAUCUUGGGGAUGAAGUUGUUACAGAGCCAUGUUGGUCAUAGUAUAUGAUUGAAUAAGGUCCAACUAUGGUGUGUGAUUCAAGGUUUGAACUUGAUAAGAUGACCAACUUUUUAGUAGCAAUGAUUCGAUACUCAAUUAAGAAUAUUUUUAAUAAAUAUCCACUAGAGCAUGUUAUGGUGACUAUGUUUUACCAAGUGUAUGAACAAUUUAUGCAUGGCAUGAGAUUAAUAUGGGAAUACAACUCAACAGCUUAGCUAGAAUAAGACUGCUGCAUGACUGUAUUAUUAUUGUUUUGGGUCAUGGGAUUUACAUUACUGAGUUCUCUAGUGCAGGACCUUACACCAAUAAAGCAAUUAAAAAAAAAACAAGAAAGAAAAAAGAAAAAAGAAAAAUAGACACUGAACAAAGGAAGAGAAGAUCUUACACCAAUAAAGCAAUUGAAAAAAAAAAACAAAAACUAAAUAAAGAGAAAGAAGACCUUAUAUUAAUAAAUCAACUGAAAAAAAAAACCAAAGAAGAAAAACAUAGGAUGAACAAAUGAUGAAAGGACUUUACACUAAUAAAGCAACUAAAAAAAACAAGAAAGAAAGAAGAAAAACAAAGGUUGAAUAAAGGAAAAGAGGACUUUACACAAAUAAAGCAACUGAAAAAAAAUAAGAAAGAAAAAAAAAUAGAGGCUGAAUAAAGGGAGAGAGAACCUUACACCAAUAAAGUAAUUGAAAAAACAAAAAGAAAAAUAGAAAAAAUAAAAAUAGAGGUUGGAUAAAGGAAGAAAGAACCUUACACCAAUAAAGCAACUAAAAAAACAAGAAAGAAAGAAGAAAAAUAGAGGUUGAGCAAAAGGAGAGAGAACCUUACACCAAUAAAGCAACUGAAAAAAAAAACGAGAAACAAAAAAGAAAAAUAGAGGCUGAACAAAGGGAGAAAAAAACUUACACCAAUAAACAAAUGGAAAGAAGACCUUAUACCAAUAAAACAACUAAAAAAAGAACAAGAAAGAAAAAAGAAAAAUAAAGGCUAAUAAAAGGAAAGAUGACCUUACACUAAUAAAGCAACUGAAAAAAAAAUAAAAUAAGAAAAACAAAGGCUGAAUAAAGAGAAAGAACCUUACACCAAUAAAGAACCUGAAAAAAAAAAAAAAAACAUAGGUUGAACAAAGGAAAAAAUGACCUUCAAUAAAUAAAAUAAUUGAAAAAAAAAACAAGAAAUGAAGAAGAAAAACAAAGGUUGCACAAAGGGAGAGAUGACUUUACACCAAUAAAACAACUAAAAAAA